rnacentral:lncRNA from 1 species
CUUUUCUGGGCAAUUAUAUUUUUCUAUAAUAUUUCUGAAGUUUAUGUUCAUGUUUACGGUUGAGUUUACGGCCGUAAACCCAUUUAUGGCCCAUGUUAUCAGGCCCAUGUUCUCCAAGUAUAAAUAUAGGUAUUAGGGUGAGGAGUAUAGAUUGAUGAACGAGAGAAGAGAGUUUACGGCCAGAGAGAAGUUUUGUGUGUGUGAAUCUUUUGUAUCCGGAUCAUCAUUCUAUUCAUUAAUACAUUGGGAUUCAUCAUCUUCUUCUUCUCCUUCUCUUCUAUUNUGUAUCCGGACAUCAUUCUAUUCAUUAAUACAUUGGGAUUCAUCAUCUUCUUCUUCUCCUUCUCUUCUAUUAGAUCUGACAUCAUCCAUUUGAUUGGGAUUCCGCACCAUCAAACAGAUC